GUGCCAGCAGCCGCGGUAAUACGGGGGGGGCAAGCGUUGUUCGGAAUUACUGGGCGUAAAGGGUUUGUAGGUGGCCCGCUAAGUCACACGUGAAAUCCCUCAGCUUAACUGGGGAACUGCGUGUGAGACUGGCAGGCUCGAGGGCAGGAGAGGAACGCGGAAUUCCAGGUGUAGCGGUGAAAUGCGUAGAUAUCUGGAGGAACACCGGUGGCGAAGGCGGCGUUCUGGACUGUCUCUGACACUGAAGAACGAAAGCCAGGGGAGCAAACGGGAUUAGAAACCCGUGUAGUCC
rnacentral:rRNA from 1 species